UCAGGCCUAACACAUGCAAGUCGAGCGCACCUUUGGGUGAGCGGCGGACGGGUGAGUAACGCGUGGGAAUAUGCCCUUCACUGCGGAAUAGCCUCUGGAAACGGAGAGUAAUACCGCAUGCGCCCUUCGGGGGAAAGAUUUAUCGGUGAAGGAUUAGCCCGCGUUGGAUUAGGUAGUUGGUGGGGUAAUGGCCUACCAAGCCGACGAUCCAUAGCUGGUUUGAGAGGAUGAUCAGCCACACUGGGACUGAGACACGGCCCAGACUCCUACGGAAGGCAGCAGUGGGGAAUCUUAGACAAUGGACGCAAGUCUGAUCUAGCCAUGCCGCGUGUGUGAUGAAGGCCUUAGGGUCGUAAAGCACUUUCGCCUGUGAUGAUAAUGACAGUAGCAGGUAAAGAAACCCCGGCUAACUCCGUGCCAGCAGCCGCGGUAAUACGGAGGGGGUUAGCGUUGUUCGGAAUUACUGGGCGUAAAGCGCGCGUAGGCGGAUUAGUCAGUCAGAGGUGAAAUCCCAGGGCUCAACCCUGGAACUGCCUUUGAUACUGCUAGUCUUGAGUUCGAGAGAGGUGAGUGGAAUUCCGAGUGUAGAGGUGAAAUUCGUAGAUAUUCGGAGGAACACCAGUGGCGAAGGCGGCUCACUGGCUCGAUACUGACGCUGAGGUGCGAAAGUGUGGGGAGCAAACAGGAUUAGAUACCCUGG
rnacentral:rRNA from 1 species